rnacentral:rRNA from 1 species
UCCGUAGGUGAACCUGCGGAAGGAUCAUUAAUGAAUAUUAGGGUGCUCUUUUCAUCAAAGAGGCCUGACCUUCAUUCUUCUACCCUGUGCACUAUUCAAACAUUCGGCAGUUGGUAAUUUGGCUUGUAAAAGAGCCAGACGACUCUGCUGAAUUCACUCUUAAACUCUAAAGUAUAAGAAUGUUACAAAUAAAACAAAUAAAACUUUCAACAACGGAUCUCUUGGCUCUCGCAUCGAUGAAGAACGCAGCGAAAUGCGAUAAGUAAUGUGAAUUGCAGAAUUCAGUGAAUCAUCGAAUCUUUGAACGCACCUUGCGCUCGCUGGUAUUCCGGCGAGCAUGCCUGUUUGAGUGUCAUGAAAACCUCAACCCUUCAAUUCCUUGUUGAAUUGUAAGGUGUUUGGAUUCUGAAUGUUUGCUGGCUUGAAGGGCCCUUGGCUACUUCAAAAGCGAAGCUCAUUCGUAAUACAUUAGCAUCUCAAUUUCGAAUAUUCGGAUUGACUCGGCGUAAUAGACUUUAUUCGCUGAGGACACCUUCACAAGGUGGCCGAAUUUCGAGGUAGAAGCUUCCAAUUCGAUCAAAAGUCACUCUUAGUUUAGACCUCAGAUCAGGCAGGACUACCCGCUGAACUUAAGCAUAUCAAUAAGCGGAGGAAAAG